UGCCCAGACUCCUACGGGAGGCAGCAGUGGGGAAUAUUGCACAAUGGGGGAAACCCUGAUGCAGCGACGCCGCGUGAGCGAAGAAGUAUCUCGGUAUGUAAAGCUCUAUCAGCAGGGAAGAAAAUGACGGUACCUGACUAAGAAGCCCCGGCUAACUACGUGCCAGCAGCCGCGGUAAUACGGAGGAUGCGAGCGUUAUCCGGAUUUAUUGGGUUUAAAGGGUGCGCAGGCGGUCUGUUAAGUCAGCGGUAAAACCCCGGGGCUCAACCCGGGUCCGCCGUUGAAACUGGCAGUCUCGAGUUGGAGAGAAGUAUGCGGAAUGCGAGGUGUAGCGGUGAAAUGCAUAGAUAUCGCGCAGAACUCCGAUUGCGAAGGCAGCAUGCCGGCUCCACACUGACGCUGAGGCACGAAAGCGUGGGUAUCGAACAGGAUUAGAUACCCGCGUA
rnacentral:rRNA from 1 species